rnacentral:misc_RNA from 1 species
GAUGAAGAACGUAGCGAAAUGCGAUAAGUAAUGUGAAUUGCAGAAUUCAGUGAAUCAUCCAAUCUUUGAACGCACAUUGCGCCCAUUAGUAUUCUAGUGGGCAUGCCUGUUCGAGCGUCAUUAAUUCCACUUAAGCCCUGCUUAGUGUUGGGAAUCUACUCUAGUGGUGCUACCCUGGAGCUACCCCUGAAAGGGGGCUGGCCCGGUAGCUACCCUGUAGUUCCUCAAAGAUAGUGCGCGGAGUUGCGUGGUCCUCUGAGCUUAGUAACUAUACACCUAGCUUUUGAGUGUCCCGCGGCGCCUGCCGUUUAAACCCCAUCUUUUAAUGGUUGACCUCGGAUCAGGUAGGAAUACCCGCUGAACUUAAGCAUAUCAAUAAGCGGAGGA